CUGUUGAGGAAUGAUUAGGUCAUGACAGUGGAGCCCUCAUAGAUGGGAUUACAGCCUUUAUUAAAUAAAUAAAUAAAUGAAUGACUAAAUGGAAAAAAAAAAACCUGAGGGGUUUUCCUCUUUCUCCCCUAGGACACAGAAAGAAGGGGCUGUCUAUGAACCAGGAAACAAGUCCUCACCAGACAUAAAAUCUGUCAAUGCCUUGAUCCUGGCCUUCCCAGCCUCCAGAACUUAAUACUGAGAGUGGCAGAAGAGGGAAAUUACCAUGAGAGUGGAAGUGACCACAUUGGUGAGUCAAAGCCAAUGAGUAAUUAUGCUGUUUAAAAUAGAGGCAACAUAUACAGUUGACCUUUGUAUUAGCAGGGUUGUCUAGUGGGACAGAAUUAAUAGGAUAGAUACAUAUAAAUGGGAGUUUAUUAAAAAGUAUUAACUCACACAAUCACAAGGUGAGGUCUCACAAUAGGCUAUCUGCAAGCUGAAAUGCAAGGAAGCCAUUCCAAGUCCCAAAGCUGAAGAACUUAGAGUAUGAUGUUCAAGGGCAGGAAGCAUCCAGCAUGGGAGAAAGCUGUAGCCUCAGAAAUUAAAUCGGUCUAAUCUCUCCACGUUCUUCUGCCUGUUUUUAUACUGGCUGCACUGGCAGCUGAUUAGAUUGUGCCCAUCCAGAUUGAGGGUGGGUCUCCCUUUCCCAGUUCACUGACUCAAAUAUUAAUCUCCUUUGGCAACACCCUCACAGACACACCCAGGAACUUUGCAUCCUUCAAUCCAAUCAAGUUGACACUCAGUAGUAAUCAUCAUAAUCUCAAAGAACUCGGGAUUAAGGGUGCUGAUCCUCCAUGCAGUCAAGAAACAGCAUUAUAGCUUUUGACUCUCCCAAAACUUAACUACUAGUAGAUUACUAUUGACCAGAAGAUUUACCAAUAACAUUAACCAAUUAACGUAUAUUUUGUAUGUUAU
rnacentral:lncRNA from 1 species